rnacentral:rRNA from 1 species
GACGAACGCUGGCGGCGUGCUUAACACAUGCAAGUCGAACGGAAAGGCCCUGCUUUUGUGGGGUGCUCGAGUGGCGAACGGGUGAGUAACACGUGAGUAGCCUGCCCUUGACUUUGGGAUAACUUCAGGAAACUGGGGCUAAUACCGGAUAGGAGCUCCUGCUGCAUGGUGGGGGUUGGAAAGUUUCGGCGGUUGGGGAUGGACUCGCGGCUUAUCAGCUUGUUGGUGGGGUAGUGGCUUACCAAGGCUUUGACCGGUAGCCGGCCUGAGAGGGUGACCGGCCACAUUGGGACUGAGAUACGGCCCAGACUCCUACGGGAGGCAGCAGUGGGGAAUAUUGCACAAUGGGCGGAAGCCUGAUGCAGCAACGCCGCGUGCGGGAUGACGGCCUUCGGGUUGUAAACCGCUUUCGCCUGUGACGAAGCGUGAGUGACGGUAAUGGGUAAAGAAGCACCGGCUAACUACGUGCCAGCAGCCGCGGUGAUACGUAGGGUGCGAGCGUUGUCCGGAUUUAUUGGGCGUAAAGGGCUCGUAGGUGGUUGAUCGCGUCGGAAGUGUAAUCUUGGGGCUUAACCCUGAGCGUGCUUUCGAUACGGGUUGACUUGAGGAAGGUAGGGGAGAAUGGAAUUCCUGGUGGAGCGGUGGAAUGCGCAGAUAUCAGGAGGAACACCAGUGGCGAAGGCGGUUCUCUGGGCCUUUCCUGACGCUGAGGAGCGAAAGCGUGGGGAGCGAACAGGCUUAGAUACCCUGGUAGUCCACGCUGUAAACGGUGGGUACUAGGUGUGGGGUCCAUUCCACGGGUUCCGUGCCGUAGCUAACGCUUUAAGUACCCCGCCUGGGGAGUACGGCCGCAAGGCUAAAACUCAAAGGAAUUGACGGGGCCCCGCACAAGCGGCGGAGCAUGCGGAUUAAUUCGAUGCAACGCGUAGAACCUUACCUGGGUUUGACAUGGAUCGGGAGUGCUCAGAGAUGGGUGUGCCUCUUUUGGGGUCGGUUCACAGGUGGUGCAUGGCUGUCGUCAGCUCGUGUCGUGAGAUGUUGGGUUAAGUCCCGCAACGAGCGCAACCCUUGUUCACUGUUGCCAGCACGUUAUGGUGGGGACUCAGUGGAGACCGCCGGGGUCAACUCGGAGGAAGGUGGGGAUGACGUCAAGUCAUCAUGCCCCUUAUGUCCAGGGCUUCACGCAUGCUACAAUGGCUGGUACAGAGAGUGGCGAGCCUGUGAGGGUGAGCGAAUCUCGGAAAGCCGGUCUCAGUUCGGAUUGGGGUCUGCAACUCGACCUCAUGAAGUCGGAGCCGCUAGUAAUCGCAGAUCAGCAACGCUGCGGUGAAUACGUUCCCGGG